rnacentral:rRNA from 1 species
UACGAAGGGGGCUAGCGUUGCUCGGAAUCACUGGGCGUAAAGGGUGCGUAGGCGGGAUCUUAAGUCAGAGGUGAAAGCCUGGAGCUCAACUCCAGAACUGCCUUUGAUACUGGGAUUCUUGAGUUCGGGAGAGGUGAGCGGAACUGCGAGUGUAGAGGUGAAAUUCGUAGAUAUUCGCAAGAACACCAGUGGCGAAGGCGGCUCACUGGCCCGAUACUGACGCUGAGGCACGAAAGCGUGGGGAGCGAACAGG